rnacentral:rRNA from 1 species
CGGCAGGCCUAACACAUGCAAGUCGAACGGUAGCACAGAGAGCUUGCUCUCGGGUGACGAGUGGCGGACGGGUGAGUAAUGUCUGGGAAACUGCCUGAUGGAGGGGGAUAACUACUGGAAACGGUAGCUAAUACCGCAUAACGUCGCAAGACCAAAGAGGGGGACCUUCGGGCCUCUUGCCAUCAGAUGUGCCCAGAUGGGAUUAGCUAGUUGGUGAGGUAACGGCUCACCUAGGCGACGAUCCCUAGCUGGUCUGAGAGGAUGACCAGCCACACUGGAACUGAGACACGGUCCAGACUCCUACGGGAGGCAGCAGUGGGGAAUAUUGCACAAUGGGCGCAAGCCUGAUGCAGCCAUGCCGCGUGUAUGAAGAAGGCCUUCGGGUUGUAAAGUACUUUCAGCGAGGAGGAAGGUGUUGUGGUUAAUAACCUUAGUGAUUGACGUUACUCGCAGAAGAAGCACCGGCUAACUCCGUGCCAGCAGCCGCGGUAAUACGGAGGGUGCAAGCGUUAAUCGGAAUUACUGGGCGUAAAGCGCACGCAGGCGGUCUGUCAAGUCGGAUGUGAAAUCCCCGGGCUCAACCUGGGAACUGCAUUCGAAACUGGCAGGCUAGAGUCUUGUAGAGGGGGGUAGAAUUCCAGGUGUAGCGGUGAAAUGCGUAGAGAUCUGGAGGAAUACCGGUGGCGAAGGCGGCCCCCUGGACAAAGACUGACGCUCAGGUGCGAAAGCGUGGGGAGCAAACAGGAUUAGAUACCCCUGGUAGUCCACGCCGUAAACGAUGUCGACUUGGAGGUUGUGCCCUUGAGGCGUGGCUUCCGGAGCUAACGCGUUAAGUCGACCGCCUGGGGAGUACGGCCGCAAGGUUAAAACUCAAAUGAAUUGACGGGGGCCCGCACAAGCGGUGGAGCAUGUGGUUUAAUUCGAUGCAACGCGAAGAACCUUACCUACUCUUGACAUCCAGAGAACUUAGCAGAGAUGCUUUGGUGCCUUCGGGAACUCUGAGACAGGUGCUGCAUGGCUGUCGUCAGCUCGUGUUGUGAAAUGUUGGGUUAAGUCCCGCAACGAGCGCAACCCUUAUCCUUUGUUGCCAGCGGUCCGGCCGGGAACUCAAAGGAGACUGCCAGUGAUAAACUGGAGGAAGGUGGGGAUGACGUCAAGUCAUCAUGGCCCUUACGAGUAGGGCUACACACGUGCUACAAUGGCGCAUACAAAGAGAAGCGAACUCGCGAGAGCAAGCGGACCUCAUAAAGUGCGUCGUAGUCCGGAUUGGAGUCUGCAACUCGACUCCAUGAAGUCGGAAUCGCUAGUAAUCGUAGAUCAGAAUGCUACGGUGAAUACGUUCCCGGGCCUUGUACACACCGCCCGUCACACCAUGGGAGUGGGUUGCAAAAGAAGUAGGUAGCUUAACCUUCGGGAGGGCGCUUACCACUUUGUGAUUCAUGACUGGGGUGAAGUCGUA